GACUGCUUCCCUGUACCGUGCAUCUGGGCUGGUCUUUCGACUGGCCUUGACCGUGAACCUAUGCCAGUGUUGCAUAAGUUCUGGAGCUGUGCUUUUGCCUUGGUGCUCUCAGAACACUCUCCCAGGACCACCAAGUAAAGAAGGAGCUGAGCAUCCUGAAGAAUCAGAAGCCACAUAGAAGACAACCAAGGGACCCAGCUGCCAGCCAGUACCACCUACGACCUGUUUGUUGGUGCCCUUGCUGAUGAAUUCUAUAAACGACACUCAUGGACACUGAUGAGAAUCUGAUAGUCCUGUGGAGAGCAAAGAGUUGAUCCUGAACCAGUGCUGGGGAUUGAAUCCAGGGCCUCACACAUGUUAAGCAUGGCUGUACCACUGGGCACACCCCAGCCCUGUCCUGGCUUCCCCACUACAGAGGCAGUGAUGAGGGGGAAGAGCCUGGAUGCUGUGUCACCCAGACAGACUCUCUCCUGCAACUUCUGCUGUCCUCCACUACACACAACUAGAGGCCAGUAACAGCCUCUCAGGGCCAAUGGGAAAGUUAAAGAACCAGAACUGCAUAGCUGGUGCUCAGUAAGUGGUCAAAAUAAGUCUUGAAGAGUCAGUGCCUGGAGCCCAGUGGCUGCACUCAGGCCUGGGGGGGGGGGUGCCCUCCUGCUCUGGUCCCCCCUGGGGGUGGGGUCUGCACAGCUGGGCGUGGGGAUCACCAGCAGCCACAGCAGCAACGAGGAGUUCUCUGUGGUUGGGAUCAUAGCCAAACUGUGAUUUCCACAGCUGGAGCAGAGAUGAUUCCAGCAACUCAGCCGUCUCCAAAUGUUACCUCUUUCCCCAGUCAAUACUGGGAAAAUAUUAGCAAACUAAAGCUUAAAACAUGACCAUUUGCCAUUUCUCAUUUUUCCCUUAAAGCGUGAAAACAAAGGGCCUGUCUGGCCUGGUUACUGUUCUCCGUCUCUGAAGGGCUCCAGGCAGUGCAGGCACAGCCUCCCACCUUGCUAAUGCUCUGCCAUUACUCCUUCCUGUGCUGUCCUCCCUCCGAGGGUUGGAGGCCCACACCAGCGGAGAAGGUGCUGUUGACUCACUCUCACAACUACCAGUCUUUGUGUUAUCAGGGCCACAAUAAAACACUGCCUUUAAAAAUUCAGCAAUUAAAAG